ACGCUCGACACCUAAGGCAGCAGUGGGGAAUAUUGCACAAUGGGGGAAACCCUGAUGCAGCGACGCCGCGUGAGCGAAGAAGUAUUUCGGUAUGUAAAGCUCUAUCAGCAGGGAAGAUAAUGACGGUACCUGACUAAGAAGCUCCGGCUAAAUACGUGCCAGCAGCCGACGGUAAUCUGAGCGGGCUGGCAAGGC
rnacentral:rRNA from 1 species